rnacentral:rRNA from 1 species
CCUACGGGAGGCAGCAGUGAGGAAUAUUGGUCAAUGGACGAGAGCCUGAACCAGCCAAGUAGCGUGAAGGAUGACUGCCCUAUGGGUUGUAAACUUCUUUUAUAUGGGAAUAAAAUGUUCCACGUGUGGGAUUUUGUAUGUACCAUAUGAAUAAGGAUCGGCUAACUCCGUGCCAGCAGCCGCGGUAAUACGGAGGAUCCGAGCGUUAUCCGGAUUUAUUGGGUUUAAAGGGAGCGUAGGUGGAUUGUUAAGUCAGUUGUGAAAGUUUGCGGCUCAACCGUAAAAUUGCAGUUGAAACUGGCAGUCUUGAGUACAGUAGAGGUGGGCGGAAUUCGUGGUGUAGCGGUGAAAUGCUUAGAUAUCACGAAGAACUCCGAUUGCGAAGGCAGCUCACUGGGCUGCAACUGACACUGAGGCGCGAAAGUGUGGGUAUCAAACAGGAUUAGAUACCCCUGUAGUC